UGGAUUAGAAGUGGAGCAACCUGGAAAUGAACUGGGACCUGUGUGAGAUGCUGGCAUUGCAGGUACUGCUUAGGAAAGAUAAUCACCUGUCUUGUUGGAAACAUUAAAGUAUCCUCUAAACUGGCUUCCCAGCCUUUGAACUGUAUGGAUAAUCACAUACGCUGCUACCAUUACUCCAACACUUAAAUGAAACUGACUCACCUUGUUGGACCACUGACCUAAUGUUGUACCUCCACCUUGAACCCGAACCGUCCUCACACCUCUACAUUUUGGUCAUCUUGACAAAAUUCAUCUUUCACAUGCACCUAGGCAUCUUUAUCACAUUAUUGG